rnacentral:rRNA from 1 species
CGAAAGCCUGACGGAGCAACGCCGCGUGAGGGAUGAAGGCCUCUGGGCUGUAAACCUCUUUUAUCAAGGAAGAAGAUCUGACGGUACUUGAUGAAUAAGCCACGGCUAAUUCCGUGCCAGCAGCCGCGGUAAUACGGGAGUGGCAAGCGUUAUCCGGAAUUAUUGGGCGUAAGGCGUCCGCAGGCGGCCUUGUAAGUCUGUCGUCAAAGCGUGGAGCUUAACUCCAUUUAAGCGAUGGAAACUGCAAGGCUAGAGUGUGGUAGGGGCAGAGGGAAUUCCCGGUGUAGCGGUGAAAUGCGUAGAUAUCGGGAAGAACACCAGUGGCGAAGGCGCUCUGCUGGGCCAUAACUGACGCUCAUGGACGAAAGCCAGGGGAGCG